rnacentral:lncRNA from 1 species
UGGAAUCCAAAGCAUCUAUUUAUUACUUUAUUGUAGUUUGUCGUUCCAGGCUUUUCAGAAAUUGAGAUUAAAAAAUAUAAACACAAUAGAUGGCUAAGGUCAUGAAGGGGGCAUCUGUGUUUUAGCUUGAAGCAAAGGGCAUCUUGGCUCAAUUGACACAGCCUGGAUAUUAGAAACCAAAGAUGUUAUCUGCAGCCUCCACAGCCUUCUUUUUGGCGUCUGGGUUCAUCUUGUCAAUGACCUCCUUGCGCGGCUUAAACUUGCGGAAGCUGAAUUCUGCAAAUAGAACAAAAGGACUGUACAGUUUUCAGUGGUUUACAUUUAGACACCUCACCUCCAGUGAUGCCAUUGGAAUCCUCCUGAUGGAACAGAAUACGGUUGCUAUCAGACCAAGCAACGAGUUUGAUGCGGUACACCUGUACUGAAAAACAUGAGCUGUGACCGAAAUACAAAGGGCAGCCUGGGCACAAACCUUGAAGUACGGGUUUUGCAUAUCAGGGUACCUUAGGACCCCGAUGUCAAUUAUGGUCUUCUCGUGGUGCUCAUGCUUGGCAAAGAAAGUUUCAAAGCUGUUAAUGGUCGCCCCUGACUGAGCAACAAAGAACUUCAAUGUCAAUCUUGGUUGAUUUCAGGACGUCCUCAUCUGCAAUGAGAUUCACAAACCAGGUCUGAACCUGUGACGAGAGAAGGCCGCAACGGUUACUAGAGCUCUUCUAUAAUACAUAACUUCUAUUACCGCUUUCACAAUAGCUGCAUCCGGUGACCCGUCAAACUUGAAAUCGCCAGAGCUUUUGUUGAGAAACUUGUCAGCUCUGCUAAUCCCAUCGCCCAUUGGCUCAACCAGGGGAUUUUGCAUGAACAUGGAGUUGACCUUCUCCCAAGUUCGCUCUUUCGGUGCCACUUUGGCUAGAAGGUCUGUGGUUCCCGAGAUGCAAACUUUGAGAACCUCAUCCAUCUUCUUCACUGUUUCUGCAUUCAAUGCCCCAAACGAUGGUGCCAGGUUGGUUUGGAGGUAGUCCUCAGCACUCUUGGAACGCACAUCAAUCUGGAGCAUUCCACAAGGAGUUAAACACUGCUUUGGGCAAGACAGGUUCAACUUUACCUUGCUGAAAUCAAAAUUCGCCACAAUGUCACCAAUCUCCUUGAAUGAACCGAAGGCUCCCUGGAUUGUCGCCAUGGUUGCCAUUGCAAUUCACCUUCAGAAGAGGUAUGUACACCAGAAGAGGUAUGUACACUCAAUUUUUAUAGGGGUAAAUGAGUUAGUUUAGUGCAGGAAACAUAUUUAAACCAAAAUGAAGUAUAGCUUGACUCAUCGCGUCAUACAUAUACCUCCAAAAAUGCAGGUAUACCCGGAUUGAGCGUUCUGAAAGAUUAGUUUAGUGCAGAAAACUAGAUCGAUGCAGGAACGCAUCUACACCAAACGCGUUCGGUGCAGAAAACGCCAAGCCUCCUUCGGUGCAGUAGUCUAGCUUGACCCAAUCAUAUUCUUUACGCAUAUGCUUCUAGGGCAUGAUAAGGGUGCAGCCCUUAACUUGUUGGGAUUCUUCCUCUCCUCGCCAAACGCGUAGGCCCCAGGCAGUCGCUGGAACCGCAUUGUGUCGCAAAGGAACCAGUGCUUGUGGAAAACCACAGGUCCACUAAGUCAACUUUGACAGCAUGGUCUCAGAGAGUGGUGAAACGAAAUGGGCCAUGAACGUCAACAGGGUGAAAUGACACACUUGUUUCACACGCUGGUCAGGGGCCUUUUGAGAGAGUAGCAAAAGCUUGAUUGGGCUUGUGAGCCUGACUUGUAUCCAUCCAAGGCCGGCGUGAGAUGCUUUGGGUGCCCAAGACUAGGGAGGCGUUGCGGGCAUCUGUUUUUCCGAGAGUACGAAGGGAUGAGGUUGCUGCAGUAGUGUGACUAGCAAAUCAACGUAGCCGUACAUGUGUAUAGAUUAAUUCCUGAGUUCAAGUAUGAAAUCAAUGAAAAGCUAACAUUUUCAAUGACUGAAGACUAUGUUGACUAAAUAUUGACUUUUAGCGAAGUUCUACUGUCAAACUAUUUGCUUAAUUAGACUCACGCUUCUGAAUUGUACAGAUCAAGAAGAAAUCCUACCUUUGGCUUUGCAAGAUGGCAUGCCCCAAGUUGAAUGCCAGUGCCAAUCUCAAGCGAUCCAAAGCACCAGGCUCUGCAGUGUCUCAGGGGAGCAAAGGGCCGCCUUAACCUUAAUCAAGUAACAGUUGUGGAAGAGAGAGCACCACAUCUAGCAUGUGGCUUGUGGCAGCCAAGCAUUUAUAAUGACAUUGUUUUUUGAUCCUUUGAUGUUAGCUUUUCUUAUCAUUGUGAAGUAAAAUUCACCAAGUCACCCACCAAUAGAGAAUGUGAGUUGGGUUUAAAUCGUCAAGAGACAUACUAAUGAGCUGUGCUGUAAUAAUAAUUCAACUUAGUAUGAAAGAUUUGCACAAUUGGUAAUUCGGCUUGGUUGAAAAACCAGUGGCGCGAAGCUACCAUGUGUGGGAUUACGACUGAACGCCUCUAAGUCAGAAAGGAUGUCGUUCUCUAGCCAGUCCCUGGCGAGGAAGAGUUCCUGGAGGCAGCAGAGUAGAGUGUUUGUUUCGGACUCUCUAACCAGCACUUGCUCCGGCCAUUCCAGCAGCUCCACCUGAUCGAUCGGAAGUUUAGAGUGUAAACGAGAUGUGAGAACAGCUCCAUAUCGAUUCUUGGAGCAAGGACAGCCAGAAUUUACAUGGAAAGGUUCCAGAUUUUAGAAGCUGCAAGCCAGGGUUUUAGCGAGGAAGAAGAAGGAACGGAUUGGUAAAGUAAUCACCGCUACUCUGCCAAGUGCAGCGAGGUUUUCGGUGUAGGAAGCCUCCCUACGACGCAGAUCUCUAAUGUUUUGCAACGCUGCCUUGAAGCUCUUGUACCUACGUCAAGUUAGAAGUGAGCUCCGGAUAGUUUCGCAGCUGUAUAAAGGGAGUACCUUGCUAGGAACGACUGGCCUUGAUGCUUCGUUGCUCCCGAGCCAAGGAUGUCACAGCCUCAAAAUGCUGGCACGGGAAAAGAGCGUUAAAAGUGUACGUGUAUCAAAUAUAACGUAAGACUGCUACCUCGAGAUUAUCCAGAUUAUCAGCUUCACCAGACGUUAUUGUGUUCAAAAGCUAUCCGCAAGAUCAGAAAGCCUCUGCUCGUCUCGGGCCAAUUGAAGCCACAUUAUCCUUUGGCCCUUCUUUCCAUGCUUUAAACUAUGAACAGAAGACAUAAAACACAGGUGAGAACCCCAAGCCUGGAAAGGAAGAGGAUACUAAACCCUGGCGAUGGCUGUGCUCACGGUAUCAAGUUCAUAGAGGCGGCAUACCUCUAGUGCCUGUUGCACAAAAUUCACAUUGAGAUUCAAGAAAACGUCACACCAAGACCAACCUUCAAUGCCAGUUUCUGAUUGGAACAUCUCUGCUUCAUUAGGAGAGCUUCAAGCAUUCCCAGGCCUUGCUUUGGGCAAGCCGCGAGGUAAACAGGUGCUAGCUGAGAUAAUUGUUAGACAGACAUCAAGAAGGAGGACAGUACUUGAGAAUAAACCAAACGAUGGAGUUCUGUCAAGGUCUUCUUCAAGAAGAGAUCGAACGUCCUCCCCUUUUGCUAUCAGGAGAUCAUCAACAUGCGCCAUCAUCCUGAUAGAAAAUUUAUAUAAAUAUUCGACAUGAGAAGUUCUUACCACUGUGACGGGGAAGAGCAUUUACCUCGGUGUCGUUGCUGAUAAUUGCAGAUAAAAGUUCUUGAAGGUCUUCGUCCCCAGAACUUUUCAAUCCUUUGCACUUGGAAGCUAUGCUACGCAUUCCAUCUAAGACCUGCACCUGAUAAUUGCAAAGUGAACUUAGCACACUACACAGUUCAUACAUGCCAAAGAAAAAGGUAUCAGAUGUAGGAAAUGCGCCACCACCAGCUCCAUCCAGUGAAACGUAGAGAGCUGUAGAACAUCAACGUUUCCCAAUAGCACCUGUAUUAGCUUUUGAAGACCAAGAAGCGUCCCACGGUGGUUGCAUUCCGCCCAAAACACACUAUUUUCAAGCUUGGAAACCUGACUUUGCCAUUUUUCCCUCGCCUGCAUGUAAUAAAAUCUAAGAAACUUGCUGCAACCACAUCAAACCUUAGAAAAGUCAGGCUUAAAACCUAUAGCAACACCAGGAAUUCCAUCAGGGAGCCUCGGGCGCAGCCGUGGCAUUUGCAUAAUGAGCAGUGUAACUGCUUCUAUGAGGCCAUUUUCAGUCUGCCAAGACAUAAAAAAGCAUCCAGAAGUUAACGCAAGUCAACAAAACAGCAUGGAGAAAGAAACCUGCCGGUGAUCGCAUUAAACACAAUAAUAGGAUCAAUACUCUUCACGGUAAUGUCGUUUUAUGUUUUGUUUUCUUCCUGCAGAUGUUUGGAGGUGUCGGAAUGGCAACAUUACCACUGAGCCUCGUAUUUGUGUUCAAGAAUAGGCCCAAGUGUUAUUACUCGUGCUCAAUACGUAAAGGUGUGUGGACGAGGAGGAUGAGCGAGUCUACGUCGCCGAUGCAUCGCGGGCAGGAAUGUACGGUAGUUUAUCAUGCCCUAAAAGCAUAUGCGUAAAGAAUAUGAAACGAUGUAUGAUUUUUUUCAAAGUCAUGUAUGAUUUUUUUCAAAGUCAUGUAGACUACUGUACCGAAGGAGGCUUGGCGUUUUCUGCACCGAACGCGUUUGGUGUAAAUGCGUUUCCUGCACCGAACUCGUGUUCUGCACUAAACUAAUUCAUCAGAACGCUCAAUCCACCUAAUCACGUUUUGUUUUUAGACCGGGUAUACUGCAUUUUUGAAGGUAUAUGUACGACAAAGUCAUGCAGCACGUGCUGCGAUGAGUCAAGCUAUACUUCAUUUUGGUAUAAACAUGUUUUCUGCACUAAACUACCUCAUUUACCCCAUUAUAAAAAUUGAGUCUUCUUCUGGUGUACAUACCUCUUCUCAAGGUGAGCUGCAAUGGCAACCAUGGCGACAAUGAAGGGAGCCUUCGGUUCAUUGAAGGAGAUUGGUGACAUUGUGGGGAAUUUUGAUUUCAGCAAGGUAAAGUGGGACCUGUCUUGCCCAAAGCAGUGCUUAACUCCUUGUGGAAUGCUCCAGAUUGAUGUGCGUUCCAAGAGUGCUGAGGAUUACCUCCACACCAACCUGGCACCAUCGUUUGGGGCAUUGAAUGCAGAAACAGUGAAGAAGAUGGAUGAGGUUCUCAAGGUUUGCAUCUCGGGAACCACCACUCUUCUCGCCAAAGUGCCACCCGAAGAGCGAACUUGGGAGAAGGUCAACUCCAUGUUCAUGCAAAACCCCCUGGUUGAGCCAAUGGGCGAUGGGAUUAGCAGAGCUGACAAGUUUCUCAACAAAAGCUCUAACGACUUCAAGUUUGACGGGUCACCGGAUGCAGCUAUUGUGAAAGCGGUAAUAGAAGUUAUGUAUUAUAGAAUCUAUUAACCUUUGCGGCCUUCUCUCGUCACAGGUUCACACCUGGUUUGUGAAUCUCAUUGCAGAUGAGGACGUCCUGAAAUCAACCAAGAUCGACAUUAAAGUUCUUGGGCGCAUUGUUGCUCAGUCAGGGGCGACCAUUAACAGCUUUGAAACUUUCUUUGCCAAGCAUGAGCACCACGAGAAGACCAUAAUUGACAUUGGGGUCUUAAGGUACCCUGAUAUGCAAAACCCGUACUUCAAGGUUUGUGCCCAGGCUGCCCUUUGUAUUUCAGUCACAGCUCGUGUAUUUGAGCAGGUGUACCGCAUCAAACUCUUUGCUUGGUCUGAUAGCAACCGUAUUCUGUUCCAUCAGGAGGAUUCCAAUGGCAUCACUGGAGGUGAGGUGUCUAAUGUAAACCACUGAAAAUUGCACGGUCCUUUUGUUCUAUUUGCAGAGUUCACCUUCCGUAAGUUUAAGCCACGCAAGGAGGUCAUUGACAAGAUGAACCCAGACGCCAAAAAGAAGGCUGUGGAAGCUGCAGAUAGCAUCUUUGGUUUCUAAUAGCCAGGCUAUGUCAAUCGAGCCAAGAUGCCCCCUGCUUCAAGCUAAAACAUCUUUCUAAAUAAUAAUCAAGUCCCUCAUGACUUUCAUUUACUGAAAAUAACAGUUUUUUAUAUUUUUUAAUCUCAAUUUCUGAAAGAGACAAUCAGGAAAACAACGACUUCAUAGACCUGGAACGACAAACUGCAAUAAAAGUAAUAAAUAUCUAAAAGCUACAUGCUUUGGAUUCCAAGUACUUUUGUCAAUGUAGCAAAUUUUUGCCGUCCACUGGAACAUUGAAAGGUGAUGAUAAGUUUAUCUAUCUAUCUAUAUACUGUUUAUAGUCUUGUGGUGCUCAUCAAGAAGCAUAAGUAUUCUUUGUGAUAUAUUAAUAAAAGGAAACAUGAGAUCAUUAUCAUUGUCUCGUUGGUCUCUGUAGAUUCUUCGCGCUCAAGGUUACCACAAGUUAGCCAGGGACAAGUUGAUGGCUUGGCUGUGAGUGCCAUUUGGCUCUCCAUCUGGUGCCGGAUUUUGUUGCUUUGAUGCAAACGACCCCAGGAACACUGUCGCAAUAAUAUUGUAGAGCAACAAGGUCUCUCAGACAAGGUAAUAUCUAAAUUGACUUUGACAAGGAACAAAACUUCGAGAAUAGAACUUCAGAGAAUGCUACUGGGCGUUUUUGUUGCAAACGGCUUGGCACAGCGCAGCCAGUGCUGAUGGAACAAGGCAAAGGGAGGCCCUCAAAACCAUUGAGCUUUUCCUCCUGUAACUCACGAACUUUGUCACGAGCAUAUUGUAAGUUUUCUUUGGCAAAUGCUUGCGUCCUGAUCAGUUGUUUCAGGCUAUUUCGGCAGCGCAUCACAGGUGUGACAUCUCCUGCUAUGAUCCUAGAGAUCUACUCCGGGAGUAGAUUUCUCGCUCGUUCAAGACGAUCCAGAUGUUAAGGCAGUUGUAAAUUUUUAGAUUAAUUGUUCCUAGUGUUCCUCUAACAUGGCACUGUUUGGGUUUGAAAUCUAGUAAGCUAAAUGCGCAGGCCAUGCAUUUUGUACAAUGUAUCCAAUUUUUCCAAAACAACAAUUCCCUUUUUUCUUUUCUUACUUUCUUGUCCAGCUGAGAACACAGGUUUGUCUAGCUCAAGCAUGAGUCGUUCUGACAUGAUUGAAUUUAUCCUUGCUCGUAUUUACGACCACAAUCUAAAGUGAUGCUUGCCUUCCAUGCAAGCCUCGCAAUCCCCUAAACCAUGAAGUCAGUCCAAAUCACAAGCAGUAACAAGGUUCUGCUUGACAAUGGGGUACAUGUCCAAAGCGGCGAUGCCACAGCAACAUACGCAACUCUCUUGUUAAGAAAAUUCGGAAAGGUGGGAUCAUUAUAGCAUCUAGCUUGUAAAUACUGGCAUAUCUGCUUCCAUACAUAGACUCGCAGAGUGAUAGAAAUACCAUUGGGAUCGCCAGAAAGAUGAUAACGAUGCAUCCAAGGAAAGUAAAUUCUCUGUCAACUCGGAAACAUAAAAGACAUCUUCUAUAAGUCAAGUCUCGCCAUUCUUGAGCUGGACCAUCAUGGUGCCAACGCCCUUGGCCUCAUAAAAGCGUCCUCCAGCAGCACGAAUGCGCUUACCAGUCAGAAUCUCACUAUAAGUCUGAUAAACAUCCUUGAACAGCAUGACAUGAAAUGCUGCAGCAGUGUUGAGCUAAAGAAUUUCUGACUCCAAGGGACCAUAGCUUGCCAUAUAUGCACAAGAUUGUGUGGAAUUAUUUGCACUUUGGCUAGCACGGUCAGGAGGAACAUACUUGCCUGAGGCGAUAGCAACAGCCUUUAGGACACUCCUUUGCGUAAUUGCCAGGCUUACAACGACUAGGCCACCUCUUCUGUUUAUUGGAGUUGCUCCCACUGGGAUUGCUGAAGAGAAGAAGAGCGGAAGCUACGAUGGUGGAUAACUCCAAGGAUAGUCGUAUAUAAUAUCAAAGAUAUAUAUACAUGAUGAAGAGACAUGCCUCUAGCCUACACCUGGAUCAGUGAAGUGGCACUCCUGCCAUCUAGGAUCAUGUCAUAGAGAGCGUAUACUCAACAAUUGCUUCCACUCCGACUCACAGCAGGAAUUGAAGUGGUAGAACCAGAAGGAUAGGCCUCUUGAGCUAUAAAGACUGUUGCCUUGGCUGCCUUUCCUGAUGCCAUACGUAAAUUAUGCUGCCAUUGUUCCUCCUUGAGUGCAACACAUAUUUGAAGAAAGGUAAGCUUCAUUUGCAUACUCUGUAAAGACGUGCAGAUCUGUUGGAAAUGCUCAAUAUCUAGAAUACCAUUCAAUAAUGCUGCUCAUUUGUCCACAUCUGUGACAGCUUGCUUUGCUGCUCUAAGGCAAACCUCAAUAUAAUUUAAUUUAUAUCAUUGAUAAAUUUCUCAAUGGGUUCACGCCCUUUCAAGGUCACAACAUGCUCCUCUGUCUGUGCUCCAAGAAUUUGGGAUAAAGGAGUCCAAUUCUCGCUGGAAAUCUUGGCACAAUCAAGAAGAUGAAUUUACUGCUCACCAAGACCAAUCUUGAUUAUGGAAAAGACUCACUUUUUUCGAAUUUUCCAAUCACGCUACUCCACAAUGGCGCCCUGCUGCUGCUUGCCAUAUGACUGUGAACAUGCAACAAUCUCCCGUGAUUAAUACAGAGAUCGCAGGAAGCAUGGUGUACCAUUCACAGCUCUAAUACCAUGAUGAUACUGCUAAAGAGCAUCUUGAUCUAUUACACCCUAGGUAUAGAGGAACAGAACCUGCCUAUGUGGCAUAGAGCUACUAACAUCCUGAAAGCCUGCUCCUUAUUGUCUUUGGGCACGAUGACAUGAAAGCUUUUCUUUCUAACUUUGAUAGGGGACAUUUUGACAUGACUCCUCGUUAUUUGAUGUCCCAAAUGAAGUCAAAAUAAUAGAAUAAAGAAAAGGCCUUACAAUCAAGUGAUUACCCCUUUAAUCAAUUAGCAUAAGAUGUAAAGGAUAAGAUCCUAACAAUGAAUAAGGUUUAGUUCUUUAGUGGCCGGCAAUGGAGUUCCAGUGAAUCUGGGACAUGCUGAAAGAUUGUCCUGCCCAAAUGCUUAUCGAAGAGCACUAUCAAAAGAGUCAUCAUGGAACUUCCAGGAUGGAAGUUCUUCAGCAAGUUGAAUCGGCCACACGGGGCAAAGCAUCAGAAGCUCAAGAUUGAUGCAGCUGUAAGUUGGUUGAUUAAAGGGUGGCCUAAAUAUAAUUGGGUGUUAAGCACCAUGCCAAGAUAAUAGGAUAAAGAAAAAGCUUUACAAUCAAAUAAUCACCCAUUUAGCCAAUUAGGAUAGGAUCCUAACAGCUGGUUCCUUGGUGGCCAAGGAGUACUACAAUGCAAUGGCAAUGCAGUUCCAGUGAAUCUAGGACCUGCUGAGAGAUUGUGCUGCCCAAACACUUAUCGAAGAGUGCUACCAAAGGAGUCAUCAUGGAACUUCCAUGAUGGAAGUUCUUCAGCAAGUCGUGCAAUAUCAUCAUGGGCCAGGGGAAAAGUAUCAGAAGCUCAAGAUUGUGAUAUGCUACACAGCUGCAGGCCAUUUCGGCCAGUUUCUCAUGCUCCAAGCAAGAAGCAUACGUGAUUCACUGAGAAAAUUCUGUUUUCUAACGUUCUUUUGGCGUAGGGAGUCCUCAUGCCAGUGACUGACGUGCUGGAUGGACUGAGCAAGCUCUACUUCUUGUUGCUACGAAUGGAUGUGAGCGUGGCCGCUGAAACCCUGUGAGUGAUGAACAAGCUCGCACCGAUUCCGUACUGAGUAGAUCAUUUCAGGCCUCCACUUGAUACGUUUGUUCCCCAUGGUCACUGCGAAAUCAUGCUCACGCGUGAAGAGAAUCAUAGACUUCGAAGUGUAUUCGUCUGUCUUGCUGGUCUCGAGGCCGCUUACAUCGCUGCCAUAGAAGCUGGAGGACAUAUGAUCAGUAGCGUGUUUGGGCCUACACUUGAGUCCAAGGAGGUAGAACUCAUGCGCGAGGUGACUCUCUCUGCCAUCCCGAAGCACACGUCCUCUCGCUUAGGUUCUGAUAUCUCGGAAUCAUCAGAACGAUCUUCUUCAUCAGACAGUAGCAGCGGCAGUGGCGGCAGGAGGAGAAAGAGAGCGAGAUUGGCGACGGUCACCAAGAGCACGGAAGUGAUCAAGGCGAUGAAGGCGGUCUACGAGGUGGAAACUCUACCGCUCUGUGUGAAGAAAUACCCCGACAACAAGGAGGACAUGUGCGACAUGGUGUAGGGAGUUUUGCGAGGAUUGAAAGCUUUGCACAAAGCUGGUAAGCUUUCUUAAUUUUCUUUUCUUCUAGUGUCUGUCUCAUCCUGGACAAGAUCAUGUAUGACUACUCGAAAGAGAAGUACGUGCUGAUCGAUCUGGAGAGCGUCAGCAAGAAUGAAGAAGUGCCAGCGUUUCGAUUUAAAGGCUGGAUCGCGACAAGGCUGGAGGCCGACUGGCACUACACGAUUUAAUCCGACUUCCAUCAACUCGGACUCGUGCUCCAGUCUACAGAAGUCAAGGACUGCUCUUUGGUUCAUCGAUUUGCUCUUGAGCAGGCCUCAGGCGACCAGUGCUAAAAGGCUUCUCGAACACAAGUGGAUCUCGCGAGUACACAGAAUAAGAAUAUGCCAUAGAAGAAUUAGGGCGGACGUGGAUUAUACUACCUUAGAAUUUAGGGCUGACGUAGAUUAUGCCUAUUCUUAGAAUAUGCUUUAAACUCAAACGAAUUUUAGGGCACGACAGACUAUUCCUCGGAAAUGCGCGGGGACGAGGAGGAUGAGCGAUCCCGGGCGUCGGGCUACGUCGUGCUGCUGCGGCGAUGCAUCGCGGGCAGGGAUCUGGAGGGCGGCCGGCGAUUGCACGCGCAGAUCGUCCGCUCUGGCUGGCACACCGAUCUCUUCGUCGCCUACCAAAUGCCAGAGGCCGACGAGGAAGGAGAAAUCGACGAGAAAAACUCCGCCGUGGAGCCCAAUCUCCUCAUCCAGAUGUAUGGCGCCUGCCGCUCCAUUGCCAGCGCCAUGGCCGUCUUCCGCGAGCUCCGCGUCCGCAACCUCUUCACCAUCAACAUCACCAUCGUCGCGCUUGCCCAGAACGGCUGCUUCCGCGACGCGCGAUCCCUGUUCGUGGAAUCCCCCCGCCGCGACGUCAUCACCUGGAACUCGAUGCUCACCAUCGCCGCGCAGCGCCUCCGGAUCGGCGAGGCGCGGGAGGUCUUCGCGCGGAUGCCUGCCCGGAGCGUCGUCUCGGCGAACGCGAUGAUCGCAGCAUUUGCCCAAUGCGGGCAAAUUCGCGAAGCCCAGGAGUUCGUCCGCGACGCCGAGAGGGACGUCUCGAGCUGGAACAAUUUCCUCCACGCCAGCGUCUCCUCUAGCGAGGUCGAUCUCGCGCGAUCGGUCUUCGAUGCUAUGCCGCACUGGGCACGGCCGAUCGGCGCUCCAGCUGCUGGAACCAUGUGCGCGCCCGAUGCGAUCACAUUCUCGUGCGUGCUCUGCGCGUGGAGCCACAUUGGAUCGCUGGAUCACCUUGUUGAACAUAGAAGGAUAAUGGCCACGUUGAAAAGAAACGAGUUCAUGAGCGUGCCUUGGUACCUAUAGUUUCAUAGAAAAAAAAAAUUUUUAAUAAAAAAUGUGCUUACUUCAUUGGAUGAAUGGAAUGCAUCUCUCCAGAUAUGACAGACAUGACGAGGUAGUAGCAAAAGAUUGCAAACGCGGUGGUUCCUAGCAAGCCUGAAAGGAAGGAACCAAAUCAGAUUUAGAAAUCGCAUCUACAGCAAGUACCCCAAGCACUGUCGAGCUGAAUAAAGACUUGGUUCAGAAACGGAAAAGCUGGAGGAUUGACUAGCAUGAAAACAAUGAUGUGGAGAAGCCAAAUUAUAGACAAAGCCAAGCUGCAACAAGAAAAAGAAAAGAAAAAGUGAAUAUCUUUGUCAAGCCUUCGGAGUCUAUUUCUUACCCGAGAAUGCCAAAAACAAGCUUGGCUAAGUAGAAAAGAACUGUAACAGCCCAGGAUGUGUCUGCCUGAGAGAAAAUCCAGCAAUGAAAUAACUUAAAUGGGAAACUAGAGAUACCUUCUCUCCCUGUGGGAAUGCCUCAUUCAGAGCUUGAACAUCAUCUUCCAAAAAGACAAGCUCCUGAAUCGAGCUACACAUAUGCAUUUGUCAACACGAUCACGUCCACCAUUGUUGUUGUUGUUGUUGUUUUUUUUUUUCUUCUCUGGAGCUGACCUGCUGGACUUUCUUCACAUUUUUCCGAAACUUUCGUCCUUUCUUCCCACCUCUUUCUUCUCAUUGGAGACCCAAGCUCGUUGGAGCGCUUGGCUAAGUCAGUCGCCUCCUGCCAAUCACCUUGAAGAGAUUAGUUGCAAGAAACGUAAAAAGAAUUGAAACACAAGAACAAGAUUGAGUUCAAAGCAUAUUCUAAGGAUAGGCAAUCUACGUCAGCCCUAAUUCUUCUAUGGCAUAUUCUUAGCAUAUUCUAGGUAUUUUUUCAGAUUCUCACAGGGAACUCGCAAGAUCCACUUGUGUUCGAGAAGGCUUUUAGCAGUGGUCGCCUGAGGUCUGCUCAAGAGAAAAUCGAUGAACUCCAAGCAGUCCUUGCUCUUUGGUUCGACUUCAGUAGACUGGAGCACAAGUCCGAGUUGAUGGAAGUCGGAUUGAAUUGUGUAACGCCAGUUGGACUCCAGCAUUGUCGCGAUCCAGCCUUUAAAUCGAAACGCUGGCACGUACUUCUCUUUAAUUCUCUUUCGAGUACACAUGAUCCUGUGCACCAAGCCCGAAAGUUUGUAAACAAGGAUGAGACAGACACUAAGAUCAAAAGACAGAAGGAAAGAAAGUUGAGAAAGCUUGCUUUCAAUCCUCACAAAACUCCAUACGCCAUGUUGCGCAUGUCCUCUCUGUUGUCAGGCUAUUUCUUCGCACAGAGCGGUAGAGUUUCCACCUUGUAGACCGCCUUCAUCGCCUUGAUCACUUCCUUGCUCUUGGUGACCGUCGCCAAUCUCCCUCCUGCUGCCAUUGCUGCUGCUACUGUCUGAUGAAGAAGAUCGUUCUGAUGAUUCCGAGAUAUCAGAAGAGCACGUGUGCUUCGGGAUGGCAGAGAGAGUCACCUCGCGCAUGAGUUCUACCUCCUUGGACUCAAGUGUAGGCCCGAACACGCUACUGAUCAUAUGUCCGCCAUCUCCUAUGGCAGCCAUGUAAGCAGCCUCGAGACCGGCAAGACAGACCUCGUGCUCAGCAGAAUACGCUUCGAAGUCUACGAUUCUCUUCACGCAUGAGCUUGAUUUCGCAGUGACCAUGGGGAACAAACGUAUCAAGUGGUGAUCUAGUCAGUACCGAAUUGGUGCGAGCUUGUUCAUCACUCACGGGGUUUCAGCGGCCACGCUCACAUCCAUUCAUAGCAACAAGAAGUAGAGCUUGCUUAGUCACAUCCAGCACGUCAGUCACUGGUGUGAGGACUCCCUGCGCCAAAAGAACGUUAGAAAACUGAGUUUUCUCAGUGAAUCACGUAUGCUUCUUGCUUAGAGCAUGAAAAACUGGCCGAACUGGCCUAUAGCUGCGUAGCAUAUCACAAUCUUGAGCUUCUGAUACUUUGCCCCUGGCCCAUGAUGAUACUGUGCGGCUGAUUCAACUUGCUGAAGAACUUCCAUCAUGGAAGUUCGAUGGUGACUCCUUUGGUAGCACUCUUCGAUAAGUGUUUGGGCAGCACAAUCCCUCAGCAGGUGUCCCAGAUUUGCUGGAACUGCAUUGCCAUUGCAUUGUAGUACCACUAAGAAAUCAAGCCUCAUUCACUGUUAAAAUUCUAUCCUUUACACUUUAUAUUAAUUGGCUAAAGGGGUGAUCUUUUGAUUAUAAGGCCUUUUUUUAUCUUAUUAUCUUAAUCUGGUGUCUAGCAAUCCAGAUCAAUUGGCCUGCAACUGUAUAACAUAUUACAAUCUUGAGCUUCCAAUACUUUGCCCCCUGCCCAUGAUGAUAUUGCAUGGCCGAUUCGACUUGCUGAAGAACUUCCAUCAUGGAAGUUCCAUGAUGACUCCUUCAGUAGUGCUCUUCGAUAAGCAUUUGGGCAGCACAAUCUCUCAAAAGUCGGAUAGAAAAGAUUUCAUGUCGUCGCGCCCAGAGAUGAUAUUGAGCAGGCUUUCAAUGUUAAUAGCUUAGUCACUGGCUCUAUGCCACAUAGGCAGGUUCUGUUCCUCUGUACCUAGGGUGUAAUAGAUCAAGAUGCUCUUUAGCAGUAUCAUCAUGGUAUCAGAGCUGUGAAUGGUAGACCGUGCUUCCUGCAAUCUCCGGCACUGUAUCAAUCGCAAGAGAUUGUUGCAUGUUCGCAGUCACAUGGCGAGCAGCAGCAGUGGUGCUAUUGUGGAGUAGCGCCUUAUCCCUGUCUACAAGGGAGAAUUCCACACAUGGGCAGCGCUGUUGAAGGUUACGUUUGUGCGAGAUAAUUAUGAUGCUAUUGUUGCAGGCAUUGAGCCAGAACCCGCUGCUAGAUCAGGAUUGAAAAUUCGAGUCUUUUCCAUAAUCAGGAUUGGUCUUGGUGAGCAGUAAAUUCAUCUUCUUGAUUGUGCCAAGACUUCCAGCGAGAAUUGGACUGCUUUAUCCCAAAGUCUUGGAGCACAGACAGAGGAGCAUUGUGACCCUGAAAGAGGAUUUCUUUUCUAUGGAGAUGGAUCCUCAUGAACGCAUUGAGAAAUUUAUUAGCAAUAUAAAUUAUAUUGAGGUUCACCUUAGAGCAGCAAAGCAAACCGUCACAAAUGUGGACAAAUGAGCAGCAUUAUUGAAUGGUAUUCUAGAUAUCGAGCAUUCCCAACAGAUCUGCACGUCUUUACAGAGUAUGCAAAUGAAGCUUACCUUUCUUCAAAUAUGUGUUGCACUCAAGGAGGAACAAUGGCAGCAUAAUUUACGUAUGACAUCAAGAAAGGCAGCCAAGGCAACAGUCUUUAUAACUCAAGAGGCCCAUCCUUCUGGUUCUACCACUUCAAUUCCUGCUGCAAGUCAGAGUGGAAGCAAUCCCAGUGGGAGCAACUCCAAUAAACAGAAGAGGUGGCCUAUUCGUUGUAACUAUUGUAAAAAGCCUGGCCAUUAUGCAAAGGAGUGUCUGGUAGUUUUUGGUAGUCUGGCUUAUACCAAAAAUCUGGAUCGAGCUUGCCUCUAGGACUAUCAAAGCAAUUUUCGUUGGUUAUAGAGAUGACACUAAAGCUUAUUGACUUUAGAAUUCUUUAUCUCUAGGGAUGUUCGUGUGUUUGAAGACAUAUUUCCUUUCAAGCAGCUUGAACUGCCAACCCUUGCAAAAUGGCAGCUGGUUGAUGACUGGCCAGUAGCAGAUGUUCCAGUUCUAGUGGGAGCACUCCCACCACCGCCACCUAUAAAUCUGCCUCCGUCGCCACCACCUCCUAUUCCACCUCAGGAUGAUGCUGAUCGGCCGCAAGCUCAAAGUGAUACUUCUAAUAUCUAUUCAGGUUUAAGCUUUUUAUUUUGCUAAUGCUGAAACUAUUCCUGAGCCACAGUCAGUUGAUGAAGUGUUAUCAAGUCCACAUGCCUCUUCUUCGAGAGUAGCCAUGGACUCUGAGUACAAUUCUUUAAUGCGCAACAACACUUGGAUUUUGGUUUCCAAGCCAGCAGAUUUGAGUACGAAGUGGCUCUUUCGUGUGAAGCGCAAUGCUAACAAUCAAGUUAUUCGUUUCAAAGCCCGAUUUGUUGCACGCUGCUUUACACAGAUUGCAGGGCUUGACUUCACCGACACUUACUCCCCAGUGGUUCGAAUGGCCUCUAUACGAGUCAUGUUGGCAUUGGCAGCGCAGUACAAUUGGGAAAUCCAUCAAUGGACGUGCGUAUAGCAUUUCUGCAUGGCGAUUUAGAAGAAGAGAUUUUUAUUUCCCAGCCUAACGGAUUUCCCGAAGAGCCAAACUUAUUAGCUUGGUUCACCAAGAUAUUGGUUUCUCUCGAAAUGCAGCUGAUCAAAAUGUUUAUUUCAAACACUUUGGUGACUUGCUUGUGAUCUUGGCUCUUUACGUUAAUGAUUUAAUCUUAGUCUCCAAAAAUCUGCCUUUUCUUCAUGAGAUUAAAUCAGAGAUCACAUCUCAGUUUGAGAUGGAUGAUAUAGGCGAGAUUCAGUAUUGUCUUGGCCUUCAUAUUUUGCGAGAUAGAGUUCGCGGCUAUCUUUAUCUAUCUCAUCAGCGAUACAUUGACGAGGUUCUAUAGAUGCAGGAUUGUACUCCUAUGGAGAUCGAUCUUCAUCUCUCCUCUGGUCAGUCUCCUGAAACUCCCGCUAAUCGUGAGGCUAUGCAACGUUUUCCUUAUUGAGCUGCCAUGGGCAGUCUCAUGUAUUGGUCUGCACUCGUCCAGAUCUAGCACAUGCAGUGGGCAUUGUCGCCAAGUUUUCUGAGAAUCCAGGCAUGGCACAUUGGCAAGCGAUCAAGAGAAUUUUUCGCUAUCUUCAAGGGAUUUGCUCCUUUGUCCUCAUUCUUCUGUCCUAGAUGACUUCCAGCUACGUGGAUAUUGUGAUGCCGACUGGGCUGAUGAUUUUGAGACCAGGAAGUCUACAUCUGGCUAUAUUUUCUUUUUGGGCAGCAGUGCUAUUACUUGGCAGUGAAGAGAAGAAGAGUGGAAGCUAAGAUGGACAAGGAUGACUCGAAAAAUAGUCGUAUAUAAUAUCAUAAAUAUAUAUACAUGAUCAAGAAUACCUGGAGCAGUGAAGUGACACUACUGCCACCUAAGAUCAUGUCAUAGAGAGCGUAUACCUCAACAGGUAGAGCAAGUGCCAAUCUGUCACAGCUUUAUCUUCCAAAGAGUCUGAGUAUAUUACAACUUGCUCCACCUGUAAGGAAGCAGCAUGGCUGCGCCUCUUUCUGUCAGAGCUUGGCUUUUCCCAGGAUCAGCUGACUCUACUUUACUGUGAUAAUAUCAGUGUUAUACUUUGACCAAGACAACCAAGUUUCAUGAAUAUUCAACUUCGAUAUCAUUAUGUGCAAGAACAAGUUUUACAUGGCAUGAUUGUUCUCCAGUUUUGCACUACUUAUGAGCAGCUAGCUGACUUGCUCACGAAGGUGUUAGUUCUUGAGAAGUUUAUUGCUGAUUGCAGUAAACUUCAACUCUUGGAGUUGCCAGAUAAAUAAAUCCAGACACUGGAGUUUCAUUUAUCUAGCUAAUGGAGGUAUAGCACUAUCCAGCUCAUGGAAAUAUGCAGCUUAUAUGCAGAUCCAGCUAUUGGAGACCUUGUGCACCACUCUGAGCAGUAAGUCCAGACCCAAAUUGAGUGGGAGUGUUAGUAGCUUUUGAACCAAAAAAUUUAUAACUUUAAACUGGCUGUGGUUGGAUGGCCGUCCCCCGUCAGCAGUCAGCAGGGCAACAUGGCGGACGGAAGAUGUUCCCUCCACCAAGAUUUACAAGGCUGGAGACAAGAUCAAGCUUGUCUUUCCUUUCCUCAACGUAGGACGGAAGGAUGUACACCCAGAGCCCAAGGAAGAUAGUGGCAGACAUGGCAUCUAAGGCUUUCCCAGCUUAAUGCGUGGGGAACCCGACUUGUAUCGACACAGGACAGAAACACCCUCCAUCUUCUGAGUUGUGGCGAGGAUUGGCUAUCAGAAGGCGUGGCCCGUGGAAGUGAACGCUCCUGCCUAGCAUGGAGAGCUGUUAUUGCGUUCUCCCGCAACGAGUUUGGCCUGCAAUUCACCUUCAGAAGAGGUAUGUACACCAGAAGAAGACUCAAUUUCUAUAAUGGCGUAAAUGAGUUAGUUUAAUGUUUAUACCAAAAUGAAGUAUAGCUUGACUCAUCGCAGCACGUGCUGCAUGACUUUGUCAUACAUAUACCUCCAAAAAUGCAGUAUACCCGGCAAAACGUGAUUAGGUGGAUUGAGCGUUCUGAUGAAUUAGUUUAGUGCAGAACACGAGUUCGGUGCAGGAAACGCGUUUACACCAAACGCGUUCGGUGCAGUAGCCAUGACUUUGAAAAAAAUCAGGUAUCGUUUCAUAUUCUUUACGCAUAUGCUUUUAAGGCAUGAUAAGGUUCCGUACAGUUCUCUGGUUACUCCACUUGGUAGAUUGCAGCGAGCUCAGACUUCGGAUUCUCCUUGCCAAACGCGUAUACGACUUUGCCCCAGCCGGUUGCUGGAACGGCAUCGCGUCGCAAAGGAACCAGCGCUUGUGGAAAACCACAGGUCCACUAAGUCACAAAAGCUUUGACAGCAUCGUCCCGGAGAGUUCAAAAACAUAAGCUUUAUUCGGAAUAUUGAUGGUGAAGGAAAACGACUGGCAAGCCGUUCCCCCUGCGUUUCAGGAAAUGGGCCGUGAACGUCAACAGGGAAGGACCUUUUGCAAGCACGUUCCCACCUAAGCCCAGGUAACCUGAGACGGUCCAGAUUGUGAAUUAAAUGUCCCAAGUAGAAUAUUCUUUUAAUUCCAUGCCCUUUAUAUAGUCAUGCCAUACCCAUGCAUCACCCCUGCUCAUUCCAUGUCAUACCUCGUGUCCAUGCAUCCAAGUUUAAUGCAUUGCUACUUCACGUAUCUAAGAUGUUUGGAGGACCAAAAUGAAACCCUUUUUCAUUCACCAAACUUUGGAUAAAGAGCAUGAAAAUGCCAAGAACAUUUUAUCCACUUGACCUAAAGCAUAAAUCUCUAUAACAACACUUUCUGAGUCACAACUACUCCACUUUUCACCAUAAACAAUAAAUGCUGCUAUUGUUUUUACUUCCCUAGGAUACAUAAAAAACCUCCAACAUUUAUGUUCUUCUAGUAGUGUUAUGUGCCUUAUCACAUCUCGACCCACCUAUUGCAAGUGCUCAAUGUAAUUUGUAUUGCACCUCCUAUAUAACUCUGUGAUAUAUUGUUGUUUUACUAACCUAGAAGUAGAAUUUAAUAUCAAUACUGAAGACAUUAAGUAACAUAAACAAAUUUAAUGUCAUUUGCGAGUACAUACUUGUGAAUUAGAAAUAAAGCUUUAUUUUGUAGUGAAUCAAGAAUAUGACCAAAGUGCUUUGCUAAAAUCUAAAUUUAUAUUCUUUUAACCUCAUCAUAACAUUUGAGAAUGUUUUUUUCUUCGUCAUAAGAGUAAAAAUGUUCAAUGACAAUAUAUUUAAAACAACAUUCAAUAUAUAAUACACUUAUGUUCCUUUUCCACUUAGACAAUGUUGGAUAGUGUUUUGAAAUAUGCUGUCUUCUGUAAACAUAAGUGUUAUAUAACAUUUAAUCUUUCCAAUAGAUCUUUCUAUUUGUGGAUGUCAAAGUAACACAAUAUUUGUCACAUAUUGCUAUUAGUGAUGUUGCCACAUCACGUGAAACUCCUCUAUCCACCAUUUUCUUCCUGGAUUAUUAAAAAAUACAUUAAUAUCAAGAUCUAUAAACAAAUAAAGAGGUGUUUUUUUGUUUUGCCAUAACAUUAACAAUGCAAGUAUCUAUGAAGAGAAUUUAAAUUUUCCCAUCUUGAGUAGUCAUAAUGCAAAAGCUUAGAAUAGAGGGUCCUGACCUAUUGACAUUAUGUUAAAACAUAAGAUGACAUUCAGUACAUAUGAUAGAAAUAUUAAGUUUCAUAUUGAUCUUGUUUGUAUCAUAUAGAUUCAUAUCUAGCAAUACUUUUUUGAUUUUGUGUAAGAAUCCCAAGAGAUUUUGCUAUAAGAUCUAGAUUAAAAUCAAUCUAAAAAGAAAAAAGGAAACAAAGCUAUCUAAAUUUUUAUGUUACUAGUAUUUUCAAUACUAACACUUCUUGAUCAACACUUGGGGUUGGCUCAACACUUUAGUCUUGUUUGGCCGAAAAUUUUCAAUCUCACUUUUAAUUUGAUUGUUAAUUUAAAAAUAAAAUUUAUUGAGAAGAAAAAUAUUUUACAAGGGCAACAAACUUGCAUAAGUGGAAGAUCCAACUUUUCCCAUACUAGAUGCUUCUUUUUGCAAUUCAACAAUCAAGAUUUUUCUAUGGCAUAAACAAUUAAACACAAUCAACAUUUUCAUAGUUGUUUAUGUGCGUUUUUUGGGUAUGCACUAAGCUAAACAAUCUUAACCAUACCAAAAAGAAGUAUAUUAAAACCUAAAGACAAGAGAUUCAAUGUUUAUUUUUUCUUGGAUUGAUAUCCUUUGAAGGAAAAUUAACUUAUUAGUGAUCAUAGUGUAGGAGAUUUAAAUUGUCACCAUCAUAACCAUUCCAUAUUGUAGAAUUCAGUUCUUGCAAAACCCUACCCUAAUGAGCUUACAAGAUACAUUAAAUUUUUAGAGACAUUUAGUGUUUAGCCAAUGUCCUAAAAUUUCAAAUCAAAGCGGGAAAAUAAAUAUGCCCAUGACAUGGUCAUCGACCCAUAAUCUACCUAGUAGACAUUAAAUUUAACAUAAUGUCUACUACAAUAUUUAGUUCAGAUCUGGAUAGUCUGCAAGAUCAUGUUACAUGGGCUAAUGAGACAUUCCUUUGCUAGAGUAGCAAAAGCUUGUUUGGGCUUGUCCAAUUGGGAUGGAACUAAGCAUGAAAUGCUUCUAGUGUAGGGAGGUGUUGCACAUAUCUGGUUUCCCGAUCCCAGCAGAGUAUGAAGGGACAAUGUUGCUGCAGUAGUGCUUGGUUUUUGAGGGUGACUAGCAAAUCAACGUAGCCAUGAUUAAUUGCUGAUGAAAAGCUAACAUUUUCGAUGACUGAAGACCAUGUUGACUAAAUAUUGACUUUUACGGUCAAACUAUUUGCUCAGACUCAGGCUUUUGAAUUGUACACUUCAAGAAGAAUUCCAACAGAAAAACGAUCAGCUUUGCAAGAUGGCACGGCCCAAGUCGGAUGCCAGCGCCAAUCUCACGCGAUCCACAGCGCCAGGCUCUGCGGUGCUUAGGAUGUCGUUCUCUAGCCGGUCCCUGGCGAGGAAGAGUUCCUGGCAGCAGAGUAGAGUGUUUGUUUCGGACUCGCUAACCAGCACUUGCUCCGGCCAUUCCAGCAGCUCCACCUGAUCGAUCGGAAGUUUAGAGUGUAAACGAGAUGCGAGAAACAGCUCCAUACCGAUGCUGCCUUGAAGUUCUUGUACCUGCGUCAAGUUAGACGUUAGCUCCGGAUAGUUUCGCAACUGUAUAAAGUGAGUACCUUGCUAAGAACGACAGGCCUUGAUGCUUCGUUGCUCCCGAGCCAAGGAUGUCACAGAGACCCUCAAAAUGCUGGCAUGGGAAAAGAGCGUUAAAAGUGUGCGUGUAUCAAAUAAAACGUAAGACUGCUACCUCGAGAUUAUCCAGAUUAUCAGCUUCACCAGACGUUAUUGUGUCCAAAAUCUGAUCCGCAAGAGUAGAAAGCCUCUGCUCGUCUCGGGCCAAUCGAAGCCACAUUAUCCCUUGGCCCUUCUUUCCAUGCUUUAAACUAUGAACACCAACAGCCUGGAAGACAUAAAACACAGGUGAGAACCCCAAGCCUGGAAAGGAAGAGGAUACUAAACCCUGGCGAUGGCUGUGCUCACGGUAUCAAGUUCAUAGAGGCGGCAUAUCUCUAGUGCCUGUUGAACAAAAUUCACAUUGAGAUUUAAGAAAACGUCACACCAAGACCAACCGUCAAUGCCAGUUUCUGAUUGGAACAUCUCUGCUUCAUUAGGAGAGCUUCAAGCAUUCCCAGGCCUUGCUUUGGGCAAGCCGCGAGGUAAACAGGUGCUAGCUGAGACAAUUGUUAGACAGACAUCAAGAAGGAGGACAGUACUUGAGAAUAAACCAAACGAUGGAGUUAUUUCAAGCUCAAGCCGCCUAGAGUUUGCCUGCCUUCUUCAAGAAGAGAUCGAACGUCCUCCCCUUUUGCUAUCAGGAGAUCAUCAAUGCGCCAUCAUCCUGAUAGAAAAUUUAUAUAAAUAUUCGACAUGAGAAGUUCUUACCACUGUGAGGGGGAAGAGCAUUUACCUAGGUGUCGUUGCUGAUAAUUGCAGAUAAAAGUUCUUGAAGGUCUUCGUCCCCAGAACUUUUCAAUCCUUUGCACUUGGAAGCUAUGCUACGCAUUCCAUCUAAGACCUGCACCCGAUAAUUGCAAGUGAACUUAGCACACUACACAGUUCAUACAUACCAAAGAACAAGGUAUCAGAUGUAGGAAAUGCGCCACCAGCAGCUCCAUCCAGUGAAACGUAGAGCGCUGUAGAACAUCAACGUUUCCCAAUAGCACCUGUAUUAGCUUCUGAAGACCAAGAAGCAUCCCACGGUGGUUGCAUUCCGCCCAAAACACACUAUUUUCAAGCUUGGAAACCUGACUUCGCCAAUUUUUCCCUUGCCUGCAUGUAAUAAAAUCUGAGAAACUAAAAACUUUGCUGCAACCACAUCAAACCUUAGAAAAGUCAGGCUUAAAACCUAUAGCAACACCAGGACUUCCAUCAGGGAGCCUCGGGCGCAGCUGCGGCAUUUGCAUAAUGAGCAGUGUCACUGCUUCUACGAGGCCAUUUUCAGUCUGCCAAGACAUAAAAAAAGCAUCCGGAAGUUAACGCAAAUCAACAAAACAGCAUGGAGAAAGAAACCUGCCGGUGAUCGCAUUAAACACAAUAAUAGGAUCAAUACUCUUCACGGUAAUGUCGUUUUAUGUUUUGUUUUCUUCCUGCAGAUGUUUGGAGGUGUUGGAAUGGCAACAUUACCACUGAGCCUCAUAUUUGCGUUCAAGAAUAGGCCCAAGUGUGUUAUUACUCGUGCUCAAUACGUAAAGGUGUGUGCUUCAAUUCUUUUUACGUUUCUUGCAACUAAUCUCUUCAAGGUGAUGGCUUGGCAGGAGGUGACUGCCAAGCGCUCCAACGAGCUUGGGUCUCCAACGCGAAGAAAGAGGUGGGAAGAAAGGACGAAAGUUUCGGAAAAAUGUGAAGAAAGUCCAGCAGGUCAGCUCCGCUGGGCACAGAGGAAAAAAAAAAAAAAAAAAAAACAACAAUGGUGGACGUGAUCGUGUUGACAAAUGCAUAUGUGUAGCUCGAUUCAGGAGCUUGUCUUUUUGGAAGAUGAUGUUCAAGCUCUGAAUGAGGCAUUCCCACAGGGAGAGAAGGUAUCUCUAGUUUCCCAUUUAAGUUAUUUCAUUGCUGGAUUUUCUCUCAGGCAGACACAUCCUGGGCUGUUACAGUUCUUUUCUACUUAGCCAAGCUUGUUUUUGGCAUUCUCGGGUAAGAAAUAGACUCCGAAGGCUUGACAAAGAUAUUCACUUUUUCUUUUCUUUUUCUUGUUGCAGCUUGGCUUUGUCUAUAAUUUGGCUUCUCCACAUCAUUGUUUUCAUGCUAGUCAAUCCUCCAGCUUUUCCGUUUCUGAACCAAGUCUUUAUUCAGCUCGACAGUGCUUGGGGUACUUGCUGUAGAUGCGAUUUCUAAAUCUGAUUUGGUUCCUUCCUUUCAGGCUUGCUAGGAACCACAGCGUUUGCAAUCUUUUGCUACUACCUCAUCAUGUCUGUCAUAUCUGGAGAGAUGCAUUCCAUUCAUCCAAUGAAGUAAGCACAUUUUUUAUAAAAAAAAAAAGUUUUUUCUAUGAAACUAUAGGUACCAAGGCACGCUCAUGAACUCGUUUCUUUUCAACGUGGCCAUUAUCCUUCUAUGUUCAACAAGGUGAUCCAGCGAUCCAAUGUGGCUCCACGCGCAGAGCAUGCACGAGAAUGUGAUCGCAUCGGGCGCGCACAUGGUUCCAGCAGCUGGAGCGCCGAUCGGCCGUGCCCAGUGCGGCAUAGCAUCGAAGACCGAUCGCGCGAGAUCGACCUCGCUGGAGGAGACGCUGGGGUGGAGGAAAUUGUUCCAGCUCGAGACGUCCCUCUCGGCGUCGCGGAAGAACUCCUGGGCUUCGCAAAUUUGCCCGCAUUGGGCAAUUGCUGCGAUCAUCGCGUUCGCCGAGUCGACGCUCCGGGCAGGCAUCCGCGCGAAGACCUCCCGCGCCUCCCCGAUUCGGAGGCGCUGUGCGGCGAUGGUGAGCAUCGAGUUCCAGGUGAUGACGUCGCGGCGGGGGGAUUCCACGAACAGGGAUCGCGCGUCGAGGAAGCAGCCGUUCUGGGCAAGCGCGGCGAUGAUGAUAUUGAUGGUGAAGAGGUUGCGGACGCGGAGCUCGCGGAAGGCGGCCAUGGCGCUGGCAAUGGAGCGGCAGGCGCCAUACAUCUGGAUGAGGAGAUUGGCGACGAAGAGAUCGGUGCGCCAGCCAGAGCGGACGAUCUGCGCGUGCAAUCGCCGGCCGCCCUCCAGAUCCCUGCCCGCGAUGCAUCGCUGCAGCAGCACGACGUAGCCCGACGCCCCGGGAUCGCUCAUCCUCCUCGUCCCCGUGCAUUUCCAAGGAGGAAGAACAAAUCUGGAUAGGCAUAAUCUAAACUCUAAAGUAACUUUAAACUCAGCUAGCCCUAAACUCUAAAGUAACUUUAAAAUUAGGGCUCUUGGAAGAAUAUAAAUAAGCAUAAUCCACGUCCGCCCUAAUUCUUGUAUGGCAAGAGAAGCCUUUAGCAGUGGAAAGAGCAGUCCUUGCUCUUUGGUGACUUCUGCAGACUGGAGCUGAUGGAGGUCGGAUUAAAUCGUGUAGCGCCAGUCGGCCUCCAGGCUUGUCGCGAUCCAGCCUUUAAAUCGAAACGCUGGCACUUCUUCAUUCUUGCAGACGCUCUCCAGAUCGAUCAGCACGUACUUCUCUUUUGAGUAGUCAUACAUGAUCUUGUGCACCAAGCCUGGAAGUUUACAAACAAGGAUGAGACAGACACUAGAAGAAAAGAAAAUUAAGAAUGCUUACCAGCUUCGUGCAAAGCUUUCAAUCCUCGCAAAACUCCCUACACCAUGUCGCACAUGUCCUCCUCGUUGUCGGGGUAUUUCUUCGCAUAGACCAGUAGAGUUUCCACCUUGUAAACCGCCUUCAUCGCCUUGAUCACUUCCGUGCUCUUGGUGAUCAUCGCCAAUCUCGCUCUCUUUCUCCUCCUGCCGCCACUGCCGCUGCUACUGUCUGAUGAAGAAGAUCGUUCUGAUGAUUCCGAGAUAUCAGAACCUACGUGUGCUUCGGGAUGGCAGUGAGAGUCACCUCGCACAUGAGUUCUACCUCCUUGGACUCAAGUGUAAGCCCGAACACGCUACUGAUCAUAUGUCCGCCACCUUCUAUGGCAGCAAUGUAAGCGGCCUCGAGACCGGAAAGACAGACCUCGUGCUCGGAAGAAUACGCUUCGAAGUGCACGAUUCUCUUCACAGCGCCCUUGAGCGUGAGCUUGAUUUCCCAGUGACCAUGGAGAACAAACGUAUCAAGCGGAGGAUCUAGUCAGUACGGAAUCGGUGCGAGCUUGUUCAUCACUCACGGCCACGCUCGCAUCCAUUCAUAGCAACAAGAAGUAGAGCUUGAGCGGUACGUGCUUAGUCACAUCCAGCACGUCAGUCACUGGCGCGAGGACUCCCUGCGCCAAAAGAACGUUAGAAAACAGAGAUUUCUCAGUGUAUCAACGCUUCUUGCUUGCAGCAUGAAAAACUGGACGAACUGGCCUGCAGCUGCGUAGCAUAUCACAAUCUUGAGCUUCCGAUUCAUUGCCGGAGGGAGUUCCAUGAUCUUCGCAGCGAGCUCGGCCUUCGCCUUCUCAAAAUUGUUGGGAUUCUUCCUCUCCUCGCCAAACGCGCUUUGUCCCCGGCCCAUGAUGAUAUUGCGCGGCCGAUUCGACUUGCUGAAGAAAUUCCAUCAUGGAAGUUCCAUGAUGACUCCUUCGCAAUCUUCCCGGUAGCGCUCUUCGAUAAGCAUCUGGGACACACAAUCUCUCAGCAGGUCCCAGAUUCGCUGGAACUGCGUCGGAGUACUCCUCCCCGGCCACCAAGGAACCAAGCAAGUGGAAAACCGCCCAGCCUCAUUCGUGACAUCGAAGAACUCAUCCAUGGAGGAAGGAGGGGGAACACGACGUCGAGACGUCGAAGUCGGAUAGAAAAGCUUUCACGUCGUCGUCGGGCCCAGACGAUAUACAGCGAGCAGGCUUUCAGGAUCUCCUCGGUGCCUGGAAGAGAUAUCAAUGCUCAUUCUGAUCAAGAAGAAAUCACGAGGGGCUGCUGGCUGCUGGUUGGAUGGCCGUCCCCGUUAGCAGGGCAACAAGGCGGGAGGGCUUGUACGGAAGAUGUUCCCUCCACCAUACAAGGCUGGAGACAAGAUCAAGCUUGUCUGUCCUUUCCUCAACGUAGGGCGGAAGGAUGUACACCCAGAGCCCAGGGACGAUGGUGGCAGACAUGGCAGCGAAGGCUUUCCCAGCUUAAUGCGUACUUGUAUCGAUGCAGGACAGAAACACCCUCCAUCUUCUACUCGACUGCAAUAUGAGUUGUGGCGAGGCUUGGCUAGGAUUGAUCUUCAGAAGGCAGUGGAAGUGAACGCUCCUGCCUAGCCUGGAGAGCUGUUAUUGCGUUCUCCCGCAACGAGUUUGGCACCAGCCUUAAGAUUGGGAGGUAUUUGACAGGCAAGGAGGGAGCGAGCACCAAGUACGACGGGACCUGCUGCGAGAGGAAGAAAAUCAAAGUAGCCGUACAUGUGUAUUGUGUGACUAAUAUUGACUUUUAAGAAGGUCAUGGGCAAACUAUUGGCUUAAUGUUUAAACUUUAGACUGGUCGUAAAUAUGAGCAAGGAUAAUUCAACCAUGUCAGAACGCAGGACGUAUUCAUUCAGAACUCAUGCUUGAGUUAGACAAACCUAUGCUCUCAGCUGGACAAGAAACUAAGAAAAGAAAAAAGUGAAGUUGAUGUUUUGGAAAGAUUCGCGCAUUUGGCUUAUUAGAUUUCAAUAAUUUAAAAUUUUACAACUGUAUUAACGUCUGGAUCGUCAUGUCCCGGAGUAGAUUUCUAGGAUCCUAAAAAAUUGACCCUAUAGCAGGAGAUGUCACGCCUACUGAUCAGUACGUAAGCAUUUGCCAAAGAAAACUUACAAUGUGCUCGCCACAAAGUUCGUGAGUUACAGGAGGAGGAAACGCUCGACGGUUUUGAGGGCCUCCCUUUGCCUUGUUCCAUCAGCACUAGCUCCAAGCCGUUUACAACAAAAACGCCCAGUAACAUUCUUUAAAGUUCUAUUCUCGAAGUUCUGUUCCUUUUCAAAGUAAAUUUAGAUAUUACCUUGUCUGAGAGACCUUGUUGCUCUACAAUAUUAUUGCGACAGUGUUCCUGUGGUCGUUUGCAUCAAAGCGACAGGAUCGGAAAAUCCAGCACCAGAUGGAGAGCCAAAUGGCACUCGGCUUAGAGCUGAUUGAGCGUGUCCCUGGCUAACUUGUGGUAACCUUGAGCGCGAAGAACCUACAGAGACCAACGAGACAAUGAUCUACACAUGGCAAACUGUCCUGUUUCGUUUUAUUAAUAUAUCACAAAGAAUACUUGAUGGGCACCACAAGACUAUAAACAGUAUAUAGAUAGAUAGAUAAACUUAUCAUCACCUUUCAAUGUUCCAGUGGAAGGCAAAACAUUGCUACAUUGACAAAAGUACUUGGAAUCCAAAGCAUCUAGCUUUUAGAUAUUUAUUACUUUAUUGUAGUUUGUCGUUCCAGGCUGAUUGUCUCUUUUCAGAAAUUGAGAUUAACACAUGUAAACACAAUAGAUCAUUAUUAUCUAGGAAGAUGUUUUAGCUUGAAGAAAAGGGCAUCUUGGCUCGAUUGACACAGCCUGGAUAUUAGAAACAAAAGAUGUUAUCUGCAGCCUCCACAGCCUUCUUUUUGGCAUCUGGGUUCAUCUUGUCAAUGACCUCCUUGCAUGGCUUAAACUUACGGAAUGUGAACUCUGCAAAUAGAACAAAAUGACCGUGCAAUUUUCAGUGGUUUACAUUAGACACCUCACCUCCAGUGAUGCCAUUGGAAUCCUCCUGAUGGUACAGAAUACGGUUGCUAUCGGACCAAGCAAAGAGUUUGAUGCGGUACACCUGUACUGAAAAACAUGAGCUGUGACUGAAAUACAAAGGGCAGCCUGGGCAAGGCUGAAGAAAUACAAACCUUGAAGUACGGGUUUUGCAUAUCAGGGUACAUUAAGACCCUGAUGUCAAUUAUGGUCUUCUCGUGGUGCUCAUUCUUGGCUAAGAAGGUUUUAAAGCUGUUAAUGGUCGCCCCUGACUGAGCAACAAUGCGCCCAAGAACUUCAAUGUCGAUCUUGGUUGAUUUCAGGACGUCCUCAUCUGCAAUGAGAUUCACAAACCAGGUCUGAACCUGUGACGAGAGAAGGCCGCAACGGUUAAUAGAGCUCUUAUAUAAUACAUAACUUCUAUUACCGCUUUCACAAUAGCUGCAUCCGGUGACCCGUCAAACUUGAAAUCGUCAGAGCUUUUGUUGAUAAACUUGUCAGCUCUGCUAAUCCCAUCGCCCAUUGGCUCAACCAGGGGAUUUUGCAUGAACAUGGAGUUGACCUUCUCCCAAGUUCGCUCUUUCGGUGGCACUUUGGCAAGAAGGGUUGUGGUUCCCGAGAUGCAAACUUUGAGAACCUCAUCCAUCUUCUUCACUGUUUCUGCAUUCAAUCCCCCAAACGAUGGUGUCAGGUUGGUUUGGAGGUAGUCCUCAGCACUCUUGGAACGCACAUCAAUCUGGAGCAUUCCACAAGGAGUUAAGCACUGCUUUGGGCAAUACAGGUUCCACUUUACCUUGCUGAAAUCAAAAUUCGCCACAAUGUCACCAAUCUCCUUCAAUGAACCGAAGGCUCCCAGCAUUGUCGCCAUGGUUGCCAUUGCAAUUCACCUUCAGAAGAAGUAUGUACACCAGAAGAGGUAUGUACACUCAAUUUUUAUAAUGGGGUAAAUGAGUUAGUUUAGUGCAGAAAAGAUGUUUAUACCAAAAUGAAGUAUAGCUUGACUCAUUGCAGCACGUGCUGCAUGACUUUGUCAUACAUAUACCUCCAAAAACAUGCAGGUAUACCCGGUUAAAAAACAAAAGGUGAUUUGGAUUGAGCGUUUUUUCGCAAUGGAUCGCGAUCGCGAGCGUGAGCGAUGCGAUCCUAUUAACACACCUCCUUCUUAAAUGCUACCUAGGAAAAGAGUACGACUUGUUUAGUGCAGAAAAAGAGUUCGGUGCAGGAAACGCAUCUACACCAAACGCGUUUGGUGCAAAACGCCAAGCCUCCUUCGUUGCAGUAGUCUAGCUUGACCCAACGCCAAAAAUCAGGUAUUGUUUCAUAUUCUUUAUGCAUAUGCUUUUAGGGCAUGAUAAACUGCAGCAUUUAACUUGUUUGGAUUCUUCCUCUCCUCGCCAAAUGCGUAGACGGCUUUGCCCCAGCCGGUCGCUGGAACCACAUCGCGUCGCAAAGGAACCAGCGCUUGUGGAAAACCACAGGUCCACUAAGUCAAGUUUCACAGCAUCGUCUCGGAGAGUGGUGAAAUGAAAUGGGCCGUGAUGAAAUCACACACUCGUUUCAUGCGCUGGUCUGGGGCCUUUUGCAAGAGUAGCAAAAGCUUGAUUGGGCAUGUCUGAGAUUGGGAGCCCGACUUAUAUCCAUCCAAGGCAGGCGUGAGAUGCUUCGGGUGCCUGAGACUAGGGAGGCGUUGCGGGCAUCUGCAGAGUACGAAGGGACGACGCUGGUGUAGCAGUGCUUGGUUCUGAGGGUGCCUAACAAAUCAACGUAGCCGUACAUGUAUAGAUUAAUUGCUGAGUUCAAGUAUGAAAAUCAAUGAAAAGCUAACAUUUUCAAUGACAGAAGACUAUGUUGACUAAAUAUUGACUUUUAGCGAAGUUCUACGGUCAAACUAUUAGACUCACGCUUCUGAAUUGUACAGUUCAAGAAGAAAUCCUACCUUUGUCUGACAACGAAGAAACGAUCAGCUUUGCAAGAUGGCACGGCCCAAGGUGGAUGCCAGUGCCAAUCUCAGGCGAUCCACAGCGCCAGGCUCUGCGGUGCUUAGGAUGUCGUUCUCUAGCCGGUUUAGACAUCAAGAAGAAAGAAAUCAAAGACAUACCUGCCAGGUUAAGCUGUGUGAAGACAGUACUUGAGAAUAAACCAAACGAUGGAGUUCUGUCAAGGUCUUCUUCAAGAAGAGAUCGAACGUCCUCCCCUUUUGCUAUCAGGAGAUCAUCAACAUGCGCCAUCAUCCUGAUAGAAAAUUUAUAUAAAUAUUCGACAUGAGAAGUUCUUACCACUGUGACGGGGAAGAGCAUUUACCUCGGUGUCGUUGCUGAUAAUUGCAGAUAAAAGUUCUUGAAGGUCUUCAUCCCCAGAACUUUUCAAUCCUUUGCACUUGGAAGCUAUGCUACGCAUUCCAUCUAAGACCUGCACCCGAUAAUUGCAAGUGAACUUAGCACACUACACAGUUCAUACAUACCAAAGAAAAAGGUAUCAGAUGUAGGAAAUGCGCCACCAGCAGCUCCAUCCAGUGAAACGUAGAGAGCUGUAGAACAUCAACGUUUCCCAAUAGCACCUGUAUUAGCUUCUUAAGACCAAGAAGCGUCCCACGGUGGUUGCAUUCCGCCCAAAACACACUAUUUUCAAGCUUGGAAACCUGACUUCGCCAAUUUUUCCCUCGGCCUGCAUGUAAUCAAAUCUGAGAAACUUGCUGCAACCAAAUCAAACCUUAGAAAAGUCAGGCUUAAAACCUAUAGCAACACCAGGACUUCCAUCAGGGAGCCUCGGGCGCAGCCGCGGCAUUUGCAUAAUGAGCAGUGUAACUGCUUCUACGAGGCCAUUUUCAGUCUGCCAAGACAUAAAAAAGCAUCCGGAAGUUAACGCAAGUCAACAGAACAGCAUGGAGAAAGAAACCUGCCGGUCAUCAAGCUGAUCCAAUCGAUACGAUCCAUGCAUCCGCAAGAACGCUAUCUGGAAGAUUAAGAUUACCAAUGGAACUUACACGGACACUUUUACAACUUCCAACAACGUCAAGCCAUCCGACUGACAACGCCGAAGCCAUUGCAUCCCAGAAAGCUACAUCGUCUUCGGGAAACUGCAAGUGCACGUUAAAAAAUGAUACACAAAGAGAAAACAAAAAGCUGCAAGACUUCGAACUUACUUGAAUCUCGGAAAGCUUCCGCUGGAACGACACCACCUUGGAAUGUACAGUGUCUUCAUCACUGAAGAGGACUUCGUCAUGCUCCUGCAAAGCUCACAGGCAAAUCAAUCAUAAGUCAAGAAAAAACUCACUGCUUCUUACCGCUAGCCAGUCUACAAGACACUCCGGAAGCCACCAUGUCGCGCUUCUGUCCACAUAGAAAACUUCUAUGAGCUCCCACACAGCCUUAAGCAUCGAGGUCUUCUCCUCCUGCAAGAAAAAAACAAAAAAAAUCUUUCACAUCAUUCGCUCACGCAUGAUACAAUGGCUAACCUUGCCUUGCGUGGGCUGGUCGAGAACGCUGUGAAUGCUCUUGCUAUACUCUAAUACAUGCUCCCACCUGCGAUCACACCUAGCGUUUCUAGAGUAAAAAGAGAAGAAUUUUUCAUACCAUGGGUUGUAGCCCAAUUGCCGGUGGUUCUGGAGAAGAGCAAAAGCCGGGAGAGAAUCAUGCCGCCUCUCGGCAUCCCAUCCUUCUCCCAGAUGAAUCUCCGUGACUCUUCCACCGCCUCCCACAGCAUUCUCGAUGUAGGAGAGCUGGAGCUGGUUCCCAUUGCUCCACGACACCCACGCUAUAGAUUACCGCGGCCGAGGAGCUGAGGAUCCAUCGCCACCGGCAUUACGCUCCCCGUUCUCCAGCUCCUCGAGACGCCGGAUCCCCGGCAUCACGCGCUCCAGAAUCAGGCCUAUCUUCCCAAGAUCAUCGUCGUGAUUGGGCUCAGCAUUGCCCAACUCUCGAUCCUGAUGCUCCCGGCGGACGUCGCGAAUCGCCAUUCCUGCGAGAAGAAUCUCUACGUCGGGGCGUGUAAGCUCACUCUCCCGAUGAAGCAGCUGUGGUGGGCGGUUUACAUCAUCGACACUGUGCUCGUCAUUCCUUUCGCGAUCUUCUUCUACGAGAGCGACCAGGAGAAGUAAUCUUCCAUCUUUUUGUUCUUGUUCUUAGAACACUCGAUCGACCGAGCUCCUCCUAGAGUUUCUUAAGUUCUUUCUAUUCCUCCAUGAUCUCAAAAGCUUUCUUUGUUCGUGGUGAUUUCCAGGACUGUGACACAAAGGGUAAAGAACGCUCUCUUGUGGGUGGUGAUACUCCUCACAGUCCUCUGCCUCCUCUUGGGAAUUCUCUAUGGUAAGAAGCUGUUUUCCAUCUUUUGUUCUUAAACCCUUUUUCUACGUGAUUGCUUGAAGCUGUUAUCGGCUAUGCUGAUUUCACCGUGAGACGUCUUUCAUCCACGACGUUGGCGUUCACCAAUGAUUUUAGCUCGCUCAAUGCAAAGGUUCCGUGCUUGUUUUCGGCUAGUUUCUCAUUGUCUUCUAAUGUUACUCUCAUGGUAAGCCUUUUCUUCUACAUUUUCCCUUUCUUCAUUCAUGUGGCAAUAUUGUGUGACAGUGUGCAGCUUAUACGUCUGGAUCUCUGGUUAAAACUACGUGGUCUGUGCGUGCGCCCUUCCCGACUUACGUGAUCGCAUUAAACACAAUAAUAGGAUCAAUACUCUUCACAGUAAUGUCGUUUUAUGUGUUGUUUUCUAGAAGAUCUGAUUUCCUUCCUGCAGAUGUUUGGAGGUGUUGGAAUGGCAACAUUACCAGUGAGCCUCAUAUUUGCGUUCAAGAAUAGGCCCAAGUGUGUUAUUACUCGUGCUCAAUACGUAAAGGUGUGUGUGUGAUUUGUUCUCGUUUCUUGCAACUAAUAUCUUCAAGGUGAUGGCUUUACAGGAGGCGACUGAUCUAGCCAAGCGCUCUAACGAGCUAAAAACGGCGACUUUGGGCCUCCAACGCGAAGAGAGAGGUGAGAAGAAAGGACGGAUGUUUCGAAAAAAUGUGAAGAAAGUCCAGUGUAGCUCGAUUCAGGAGCUUUUCUUUUUGGAAGAUGAUGUUGAAGCUUUGAACGAGGCAUUCCCACAGGGACAGAAGGUACCGUUCUAGUUUACCAUUAAGUUUUUGUGCUGAUUCUACUGCUGGUUUUCUCUCAGGCAGACACGUCCUGGGCUCUUCUAGCUAGCCAAGCUUGUUUUUGGCAUUGUCGGGUAAGAAAGUCCUUCAAGUCUUAAGAAAAAGAUUCAGUCUUAUUAUUUCUCUUGUUGCAGUUUGGCUUUGUCUAUAAUUUGGCUUCUCCACAUCAUUGUUUUCAUGCUUGUCAAUCCUCCAGCUUUUCCGUUUCUGAAUCAAGUCUUUAUUCAGCUUGACAGUGCCGGGGGUACUUUCUGUCAAUGCGAUCUCUAGACCUGAAUAGUUUCCUUCCUUUCAGGCUUGCUAGGAACCACUGCGUUUGCAAUCUUUUGCUACUAUCUCGUCAUGUCUGGCAUAUCUGGAGAGAUGCAUCUGGGAAUGAGGCUUUUGUUUCUUUCCAUUCAUCCAAUGAAGUAAGCACUUUUUUUUAUAUGCAUUUUCUAGAAUGUAAUGGUUUUUAUUAUGAAACUAUAGGUACCAAGGCACGCUCAUGAACUCGAUCCAAUGUGGCACGAGAAUGUGAUCGCGUCGGGCGCGCAACCGUCGAGCGCCAUGGAUUCCAGCAGCUGGAGCGCCGAUCGGCCGUGCCGGCCUUGGCCGUGGCCGUGAUGGCGAUAUUCCAAGAAACCGUGCUCUGUCGAUCAUCCCCUGGAAGAUCUCGCACGCGUCGUCCAGCCGCCCCGAUCGGCUGAAGAGAUGGACGAGGGAAUUCCCCACCGCGCCCUCGUGGUAGAGGCGCUGUGGCGGAUAUCGGGUAGGAUGUGGUGCGCCAGCGAUGGAUCUUGGAUCGCCGUGGCCGCGAAAAGCACGCUCAUGAUCGUCUCAAGAUCCAUGAUCCGGAAGAGCUGGAUCGCGUCGGCGCCGGCGCCGUGCUGCGCGUAAGGCCGUGAUCAUCGUCGUCCACGACACGAUGUUUGGCUCCGGCAUGGCGUCGAGGAUCGAUCGCGCCUCGCGGAGCUGCCGCGUGCAUCACCGCCGCCCAGGUCACCACGUUCUUGUCCAGGGUUUGAUCGAAGAGCUCCCUCGCGCGAUCCACCAGUCCCGCCUGUGCGUAGGCCGAGAUGAUCGUGUUCCAGGACGAGAGAUUCCUCGGCGCCGUCAUCGAAUUGAAUGCCUGCCGCGCCUCCUCGAUUCGGCCAUUCUCGGCGAGCGCCUGGAUCAUCACGUUCCAGGCAACGGUGUUCCAGUGCUUCAUCCGCGAGAAGAGCUCCCUCGCCUGGUUGAUCUUCCCCACGGAUCCAUAGCCCGUGAUCAUGGACGUGAUGGACAUGAGAUCCGGAUGAUCCAGCGCGAGGAAUAGCUCCUCGGCGUUGCGCAUCAGCGCUCGGCGUAGCCCUGGAUCAUGCUCAACCACACGACACAAUCCCAGUGCGGCAUAGCAUCGAAGACCGACCGCGCGAGAUCGACCUCGCUGGAGGAGACGCUGGCGUGGAGGAGAUUUUUCCAGCUCGAGACGUCCCUCUCGGCUAUGGCGUCGCGGAAGAACUCCUGGGCUUCGCCAAUUUGCCCGCAUUGGGCAAAUGCUGCGAUCAUCGCGUUUGCAGAGACGACGCUCCGGGCAGGCAUCCGCGCGAAGACCUCCCGCGCCUCGCCGAUCCGGAGGCGGUGCGCGGCGAUAGUGAGCAUCGAGUUCCAGGUGACGACGUCUCGGCGGGGGAAUUCCACGAACAGGGAUCGCGCGUCGCGGAAGCAGCCGUUCUGGGCAAGCGCGGCGAUGGUGAUGUUGAUGGUGAAGAGGUUGCGGACGCGGAGCUCGCGGAAGACGACCAUGCGCUGGCGAUGGAGCGGCAGGCGCCAUACAUCUGGAUGAGGAGAUUGGCGACGAAGAGAUCGGUGUGCCAGCCCGAGCGGACGAUCUGCGCGUGCAACCGCCGGCCGCCCUCUAGAUCCCUGCCCGCGAUGCAUCGCCGCAGCAGCACGACGUAGCCCGACGCCCCGGGAUCGCUCAUCCUCCUCGUCCCCGCGCCCUAAUUUUUCUUCUAUGGCAUAUUCUUAUUCCAACUAAAAGCCUUUUAACUUUUAAGAAGGUCAUGGUCAAACUAUUUGCUUAAUGUAAAUAUGAGCAAGGACAUCAGAAGGCUGGACUAUUCAUUUAGAAACUCAUGCUUGUAGACAAACCUAUGUUCUCAGCUGGACAAGAAACUAAGAAAAGACCAAAGUGACGUUGCUGUUUUGGAAAGAUUCGCGCAUUUAGCUUAUUAAUUUAAAAAAUUUACAACUGUAUUAACGUCUUGAUCGUCUUGUCCCGGAGUAGAUUUCUAGGAUCCUAAAAACUUGACCCUAUAGCAGGAGAUGUCACGCCUACUGAUCAGUAUGUAAGCAUUUGCCAAAGAAAACUUAUAAUGUGCUCGCGACAAAGUUCGUGAGUGACAGAAGGAGGUAAAGCUUGACGGUUUUGAGGGCCUGCCUUUGCCUUGUUCCAUCAGCACUGGCUGCGCUGUGCCAAGCCGUUUACAAUAAAAACGCCCAGUAGCAUUCUCUACGAAAUUCUGUUCCUUGUCAAAAUCCAAUGAUAAUGAUCUCCACAUGGCAUACUGUUCUGUUUCGUUUUAUUAAUAAUACGUAAGACUACCACUAGACUAUAAACAGUAUAUAGAUAAACUUAUCAUCACCUUUCAAUGUUCCAGUCAUUGACAAAAGUACUUGGAAUCCAAAGCAUCUAGGUUUUAGAUAUCUAUUACUUUUAUUGUAGUUUGUCGUUCCUUUUUUUUUGAAAUUGAGAUUAAAAAAUAUCAAGACAAUAGACAGCUGUUAUUUUCAAGUAGGUCAUGUAUUUAGAAAGAUGUUGUAGCUUUAGAGGCAUCUUGGCUCAAUUUAGAUAUUAGAAACCAAAGAUGUUAUCUGCAGCUUCCACGGCCUUCCUUUUGGCGUCUGGGUUCAUCUUGUCAAUGACCUCCUUGCGCGGCUUAAACUUACGGAAGGUGAACUCUGCAAAUAGAACAAAAGGAGCGUGCAGUCUUCAGUGGUUUACAUUAGACACCUCACCUCCAAUGAUGCCAUUGGAAUCCUCCUGAUGGAACACAAUACGGUUGCUAUCAGACCAAGCAAAGAGUUUGAUGCGGUACACCUGUACUCAUAAUAAGCAUGAGCUGUGACUGAAAUACAAAAGGCAGCCUGGGCACAAACCUUGAAGUACGGGUUUUGCAUAUCAGGGUACCUUAAGACCCCGAUGUCAAUUAUGGUCUUCUCGUGGUGCUCAUGCUUGGCAAAGAAAUUUUCAAAGCUGGUAAUGGUCGCCCCUGACUGAGCAACAAUGCGCCCAAGAACUUCAAUGUCGAUCUUGGUUGAUUUCAGGACGUCCUCAUCUGCAAUGAGAUUCACAAACCAGGUCUGAACCUGUGACGAGAGAAGGCCGCAAAGGUUAAUAGAGCUCUUCUAUAAUACAUAACUUCUAUUACCGCUUUCACAAUAGCUGCAUCAGGUGACCCGUCAAUCUUGAAAUCGCUAGAGCUUUUGUUGAGAAACUUGUCAGCUCUGCUAAUCCCAUCGCCCAUUGGCUCAACCAGGGGAUUUUGCAUGAACAUGGAGUUGACCUUCUCCCAAGUUCGCUCUUCUGGUGGCACUUUGGCGAGAAGAGUGGUGGUUCCCGAGAUGCAAACCUUGAGAACCUCAUCCAUCUUCUUUACUGUUUCUGCAUUCAAUGCCCCAAACGAUGGUGCCAGGUUGGUGUGGAGGUAAUCCUCGGAACUCUUGGAACGCACAUCAAUCUGGAGCAUUCCACAAGGAGUUAAGCACUGCUUUGGGCAAUACAGGUUCCACUUUACCUUGCUGAAAUCAAAAUUCGCCACAAUGUCACCAAUCUCCUUCAAUGAACCGAAGGCUCCCAGCAUUGUCACCAUGGUUGCCAUUGCAAUUCACCUUCAGAAGAGGUAUGUACAUACUCCUUACUCCAUACUCCAUUUUUAUAAUGGGGUAAAUGAGUUAGUUUAGUGCAGAAAACAUGGUUAACAAAAAUGAAAGUAGCUUUACUCAUCACGUGCUGCAUGACUUCGUCAUACAUAUACGGUUAAAAAACAAAAGCUGAUUAGGUGCAUUCAGCGUUCUGAAAGAUUAGUUUAGUGCAGAAAGCGAUUUCGGUGCAGGAAACGCAUUUACACCAAACAGAAAACGCCAAGCCUCCUUCGGUGCAGUAGUCUAGCUUGACCAUGACUUUGAAAAAAAUCAGAUAAUCGUUUCAUAUUCUUUACGCAUAUGCUUUUAGGGCAUGAUAAACUGCUCUCCUCUCCUCGCGUAGACGACUUUGCCCCAGCCGGUCGCUGGAACCGCAUCGCGUCGCAAAGGAACCAGUGCUUGUGGAAAACCACAGGUCCACUAAGUCAACUUUCACAUCGUCUCAGAGAGUUCAUUCAACUUUAAGAAAGUUUAAGCUUUAAAAACCCCUUGGAGAAUUGAUGGUGGCCGCGAACGUCGGAGAGUAGCAAAAGCUUGAUUGGGCUUGUCUGAGAUUGGGAGCCCGACUUGUAUCCAUCCAAGGCAGGCGUGAGAUGCUUUGGGUGCCCGAGACUAGGGAGGCGUUGCGGGCAUCUGUUUUUCCGAUCCCAGCAGAGUACGAAGGGACGACGCUGCUGCAGUAGUGCUGGGUUUUGAGGGUGACUAACAAAUCAACGUAGCCGUACAUGUGUAUCGAAGUAUGAAAAUCAAUGAAAAGCUAACAUUUUCAAUGACUGAAGACUAUGUUGAGUAAAUAUUGACUUUUAGCGAAGUUCUUACAUUGUACAGCUUGUCUUUUUGGAAGAUGAUGUUCAAGCUCUGAACGAGGCAUUCCCACAGGGAGAGAAGGUAUCUCUAGUUUCCCAUUUAAGUUAUUUCAUUGCUGGAUUUUCUCUCAGGAAGACACAUCCUGGGCUCUUACAGUUCUUUUCUACUUAGCCAAGCUUGUUUUUGGCAUUCUCGGGUAAGAAAUAGACUCGGAAGGCUUGACAAAGAUAUUCACUUCUUCUUUUGUUUUUCUUGUUGCAGAUUGGCUUUGUCUAUAAUUUGGCUUCUCCACAUCCUUGUUUUCAUGCUUGUCAAUCCUCCAGCUUUUCCGUUUCUGAACCAAGUCUUUAUUCAGCUUGACAGUGCCGGGGGUACUUUCUGUCGAUGCGAUCUCUAGACCUGAAUCGUUUCCUUGCUUUCAGGCUUGCUAGGAACUACCGCCUUUGCAAUUUUUUGCUACUACCUCGUCAUGUCUGUCAUAUCUGGAGAGAUGCAUCUGGGAAUGAGGCUUCUGUUUCUUUCCAUUCAUCCAAUGAAGUAAACACUUUUUUUUAAAAAUGUUUUUCUAUGAAACUAUAGGUACCAAGGCACGCUCAUGAACUCGUUUUCUUUUCAUCCAUGUUUACACGUGGACGUUUGCCCGAAUAAGCCCAUUCUGGGUCUAUCCGAUUCCUUUCUCCGAAAGAUGCCCUUCCUGGGCAAAUGCGUGAAUUGACGUGAAAACCCUGUUCUUGCGGAUGACUGGCCACAAUGUGAAUUGAUCUCUUGACGAUCGAUCUCUUCUCUGCGCUUCCAGCGAUCGCGAUCGAUUUCAGCGACACCUCCACGGAUAAAACUUGCAAAUUGGAUGCUCCAAUUAGCUGUCUUUUAAGGUCUCUUUAAGCUCUUGGAGCAAUCAGUACACAUUUCAUCCUUUCUUGAGUAAAAGAAUGCAGCUUAUCCAUAUACUCGUAGAGAUUUUUCUUGAGGAACGUAGCGCUUGCAAAUUGAUGGUCUCGUCCAAGCUCCAACCAGGUGAAGUUGUGAAGCGAAACCAAGAUCUCGUACGGGUUGUUUCCAAACGCACCAGCGCUGAUAGCAAUCUCCCAACACCGCACACUGUCCACUUACUCUUUUGGCACUCGUCCCACGAAGAAUGCCUUGGAUCCGUGCGAACCUCCUGUGCGACAUCCACCGCUUCUGAUGAGCAGAAAUGCUCCAAAUACAAGCAUCACAGCCCGAUGCCCGAUGCAUGAAGAAGACCUUUUGCUUGAAAAUGGAGAGCAUUGAAAAUGCGAGUGACUUUGUCCGUGGUCACCGCUUGCGAGGCGCAGAGGUCGCACAUCUGGAGAAUCCACCUGACCAGACAGGGAUCUCCUGCCAUCAAGGACAGCGCGAAAUCGAUGAAGAAAGCUUGAGUUAGAAGCUUGAGAGUGUGGUCACCUUGGAUUGCUCUUGACUUUUUUCAGAGAUUCCAGCUACGUGCUUUCGACACGAUCGCCGACAUUUGACCGGCUCCUCUGGUGCGAGUAGACAUCGCUGAGCUUCGUUUGCACGAUCCACAGAGCGAAUUUGUCGAGCCUGAGCACGCGGCGGGAUUGAGAGAGAGAUUGGGCUCUUGUUCUUCUAGAGACGGGGAGGAAGGGAAAAGAUCGCUGGCAGUGCACAACGAGAGUGGACUUGAGCCCGGCCUACGCAUUUCGGAGAUGCGAGCACAUAAUCUACCAGAAACCAUCGCCAUCACAAACGAAGCCUCCAGAUCUGGAAAUUCCAACUGAAAACCUGCUUAUAAACAGUGGGCUUAAAUAUUUUUUUGCUCAAAGUGCUUUUUCGUGUGCUCUUACCAAACAUCCAGUUUUAUACUUCCCAACGCGCGGGCCUCGUUUACGCUGCCGGAGUUUCUGUUCACGGCAGGCAAUGGUGUUGGUUUCCAUCCACCUCGCAUUGCCUUGGAACAAUGGAAUGUUGGAAAGUCGCCACUCAAACACUUAAACGUUGAGGGUCUCGCAUGUGCAGGAGGAAAGAUGACGCUGGUGGUGAGCAGCGAGAUCUGAGUGGAGGUUUUGGUGGACGAGAUUUUCUGCUAGCGAUGGGAUAGGCACACUUGUGCCUUUCGGAUUGUCAUUUAUUUAUUGACCAGUUUCUAUUCUUGGAAUCGCGAAGUCCACGAAGGCGAAAAGAUUUCAUGCUAAGCGAGCGCUCUACUUAACAGGAAGAUGAAAAUGCAAAAAGCUUUUACCAUUUUCACAAACAGAGCUAUCCCCGUUUUGCUCUACUCCUGUCUCGAACCUAAAGUAUCGAACAGUGUUUCAAGGGCUUUUGAUGGUAGUGGUGGAGUGUCGCUGUUUCCAAUGCUCAGAGGUAUCCAAAUCCUGGCCAUUCUCAAGCUCAGGAAGAAAGAGUCUAACAUUUCCUGGGACAUGAGUGUGCACCUGGAGGCUUAAACUUAUGUUCACUAUACAUGUAUUGUUGUUAUUUUUUAUGUUAUUAUUUUGUUGUUAUUUAUGUUAAUUUACAAUUGUAAAGUUUGUAAAUAUAUGUAUGCAUAUAUAUGCUAGGUAAUACAUUAAUUAUAAUACUAUACCAUCCAUUUAGGACUAAAUUAGUCCAUCCAUUUUUGUAUAUAAUUCAUAUACCUAUUCAUAUAUUUUGAACACUCACAUUGGUAAAGGUGAGGAAAGGCAACUUUUUUUUGUAAUCUAGUAUUCAAGAUGCAUUUGAUCUAGUGUUUAGGAUAUUGUUCUUUGUUUUUAUUUUUUCAUUCUUUUUUAAAUCUAGAUUUUUAUUAGCUUUUUGCAAGAUCUAAAACUCUAAUUGUAGUUGUGCUUAGAUUUACUCUUUCUUUUUAUUUUUAUUGAAUUUUUUUCUUCUUCUACUAUGCCAUGUCAUCAUCAAUCAAGGAAUAUGUUAUUUGAGAUUGUUAAUGUUACUCCAUUGGAUCAAACCUUUAAUGCUAUGGGGUAUAAUUAUAUUGGUGUUCUUGGUGUGUUGCUAUCUCAAAAUUUUAUAGGUGAUUAUAUAAUUUGUUCUGUUCUCGGUAUUAUGCCAUCUUUUGUUGAUAUGAAACAUGAUUGUGACAUCAAUUGGUGAAUUAUAGAUGAUGUAAUCUAGUUUUUGGCAAAUGUUCAAGGAUCUAAUUUAUAAGUAUGAGCUUGAGUGAAUUCUAGAUUGUUUUGAGAUUUUGCGAGAUAAGUGUUAAUCCUUUAAUUUCUUAUUUGAUCCUUUUAUUUUUACCUUUUGUUCUUUUUGAAUUAUUUAUUUAUUUUUUGAUUUGAACCACCUUUUUUUAUUUCUGAUAUUUCUUCCUCAUUUGUAAUGUUUCCUUUUCAUAGCACAUGGAUCAUUUGUGACUUUUAUCAUUCUCAUUCUCAAUCUAGUGUCCAUCUUCUACUCCACUGCAAUGAGUUAUGGCGAGGCUUGGCUUGGAUUGAUCUUCAGAAGGCGUGGCUAGUGGAAGUGAAUGCUCCUGCCUAGCAUGGAAAGCUGGUAUUGUGUUCUCCCGCAACGAGUUUGGCACCAGCCUUGAGAUUGGGAGGUAUUUGGCAGGCGAGGAGGGAGUGAGCACCGAGUACGAAGGGACCACCUUGCUGCGAGAGGAAGAAAAUCAAAGUAGCCGUUGAUUAUGCAAUCAACAUUUUCAAUGUGACACUUUUAAAAAGGUCAUGGUCAAACUAUUUGCUUAAUGUUUAAGCUUUAGACUGGUCGUAAAUAUGAGCAAGGAUAAUUCAACCAUGUCAGAACGCAGGACGUAUUCAUUUAGAAACUCAUGCUUGAGCUAGACAAACCUCUGUUCUCAGCUGGACAAGAAACUAAGAAAAGACCAAAGUGAAGUUGCUGUUUUGGAAAGAUUCGCAGCUUAUUAAUUUAAAAAAUUUACAACUGUAUUAACGUCUUGAUCGUCUUGUCCCGGAGUAGAUUUCUAGGAUCCUAAAAACUCGACCCUAUAGCAGGAGAUGUCACGCCUACUGAUCAGUACGUAAGCAUUUGCCAAAGAAAACUUACAAUGUGCUCGUGACAAAGUUCGUGAGUUACAGGAGGAAAAGCUUGACGGUUUUGAGGGCCUCCCUUUGCCUUGUUCCAUCAGCACUGGCUCCAGUAGCAUUCUCUAAAUUUCUAUUUUCGAAGUUCUGUUCCUUGUCAAAAUCCAUUUAGAUAUUCCCUUGUCUGAGAAACCUUGUUGCCCUACAAUAUUAUUGCGACAGUGUUCCUGGGGUCGUUUGCAUCAAAGCGACAGGAUGGGAAAAUCCAGCAAGAUGGAAAGCCAAAUGGCACUCAGAGCCGCACGACUAAGCCAUCAACUCGGCUUAGAGCUGAUUGAGCGUGACUUGUGGUAACCUUGAGCGCGAAGAAUCUACAAAGACCAAUUAGACAAUGAUAAUGAUCUCCACAUGGCAAACUGUCCUGUUUCGUUUUAUUAAUAUAUCACAGAGAAUACUUAUGCUUCUUGAUGGGCACCACAAGACUAUAAACAGUAUAUAGAUAAAUUUAUCAUCACCUUUCAAUGUUCCAGUGGAAGGCAAAAAUUUGCUACAUUGACAAAAGUACUUGGAAUCCAAAGCAUCUAGCUUUUAGAUAUUUAUUAAUUUUAUUGUAGUUUGUAUAUAAAGUCUUUGUUUCCCUGAUUGUCUCUUUUCAGAAAUUGAGAUUAAAAAAUAUCAAGACAAUAGAUAGCUGUUAUUUUCAAGUAAAUGAAGGUCACGAGGGGCUAUGAUUUGAUUAUUAUUUAGAAAGGUGUUUUAGCUUGAAGCAGGGGACAUCUUGGCUCAAUUGACACAGUCUGGAUAUUAGAAACCAAAGGUGUUAUCUGCAGCCUCUACAGCCUUCUUUUUGGCGUCUGGGUUCAUCUUGUCAAUGACCUCCUUGCGUGGCUUAAACUUACGGAAGGUGAACUCUGCAAAUAGAACAAAAGGAGCGUGCAGUCUUCAGUGGUUUACAUUAGACACCUCACCUCCAAUGAUGCCAUUGGAAUCCUCCUGAUGGAACACAAUACGGUUGCUAUCAGACCAAGCAAAGAGUUUGAUGCGGUACACCUGUACUCAUAAG